UUGACCUUAGCUCAGCAGGCAGAGCAGGGGACUAAUCCUCUAGGUUGCUGGUUCAAAUCCAGCAGGUCGAG
rnacentral:tRNA from 1 species